CUUUUCUUCAAAGGAUGGGUUGGAGCGUUAAAAAAUGUUGGUGGGUUUGGGCUCGCAGGAGGCGGCGCGCGGAGGGCGAGGGCGCUUUUGCUGAGCUGUGCAGUUCGGUCCGCUGAGCCCGGCGGCCCUGCCCGCCCGCUCGUCCGCCCGCGGUCGCUAGUGUUGCCGCCGCCGCCGCCGCCGCCGCCGCUGCUGCUCCAUGGCCGCGCCCGCCCCGCGCCCCCGCCGCGUCCCGUCGCCGCCCGCCCGCGUCCCCGGUGAGCGCUGGAGUGGGGUCGGGCCCGUGUGCCUGCCUCCCGCGCCCUCUCCGAAUCCCGGACUCCUAGUGAAAGGAAGGGGGAGGGCGCGGGCGCGGAAGGGAGGUGGAUCGGAGCGGCAGCGCGGCCCAGCCGAACGGGUACCGACCGUCACCCCGCGAUCUUCCUCGCAGGGGGCGCCGGCGCCCAAGCUGCUCGCCCGGAGGGCCCAGAGCCGCUUCCCAGACCAGAGCCGGGGGAGGCGCAGCCAGUAGCGAGCCCUGAGCGACCUCUCUCCCCACUCGCCCCCCUGCCCCAGUGAAUUUCUGUCAGUUGAAGGGAGCGGGGCUCUUGCCCGGGGAAAAGGAAAACAGUUCGUGGCCUGGGAUCUGGGACCCCUUGCCGCCCCCAGCGCCCCUCCCGCUCCCCGGCGCCCUUGCGGCCCAGUGGCUCCUGCGCGCCGGAGUCCGCCGCGAAGACUGAGCGGCCGCGGGGAUCGCCGCGGGCUCCGCGCGUAUUCCUGGGCUCAACACUGCCACUAUCUGACACAACAGGAGCAGUGUCGGGGGGGUACUGCGCGCCCAGACGUGAGCUGUGAUAGGCUCUCGAAACUGGGCGCAUUUUUUUUUUAACCUGAGAAUUGGACACUUGAUGAAGGGAAGGACACGGAGAGAUGACAAACGCAGACUGGCAUGCAGUUGUUUUCAGGGUGGGAAGAACAAAGUGGAAUGUCUUCAGUUCUUACAAAAUAUGGUGGCAUUUGUAAUCUCUGAGUUUUUGUAUUUGGCCUACAAAGGGGGUCUUUUCAGGGAAACACGAAUGGAACCCUUCAGAGACAUGUCUACAUUGUAAAACAAUAUAGGAUAGAUACGGAUUCGGGAAGGUCUGCAAAUGGUUCCGCUCAAAGAACUUGGGGUAAAGUUGACCGAGGACUCGGAUUCUGAGAGGACUCCUAUCACGUUCUUCAUGAGAGUUUUAGGCUAUUUGGACUGAGGAAUGAUUUGGAGGUACGUCGGGGGCAUUCCCUCACUGAGGCCAUCAGUGGCUGCCUCCCUGCAUUGGCUGCUGGUUUGAGUUCCUUC
rnacentral:lncRNA from 1 species